CCUACGGGUGGCAGCAGUGAGGAAUAUUGGUCAAUGGGCGGAAGCCUGAACCAGCCAAGUAGCGUGCAGGAUGACGGCCCUACGGGUUGUAAACUGCUUUUAUACGGGAACAACGCGCCUUACGUGUAGGGCUUUGCAUGUACCGUAUGAAUAAGGACUGGCUAAUGCCGUGCCAGCAGCCGCGGUAAUACGGGAGGUCCGGGCGUUAUUCGGAUUUAUUGGGUUUAAAGGGAGCGUAGGCCGCAUGUCAAGCGUGCUGUGAAAUGUCCGGGCUCAACCCGGGCCUUGCAGCGCGAACUGGCGUGCUUGAGUCCGCGGAAAGCAGGCGGAAUUCGUCGUGUAGCGGUGAAAUGCUUAGAUAUGACGAAGAACCCCGAUUGCGAAGGCAGCAAUCUGGCUGGAAACUGACGCUGAGGUGCGAAAGCGUGGGUAGCAAACAGGAUUAGAUACCCUUGUAGUC
rnacentral:rRNA from 1 species